rnacentral:lncRNA from 1 species
UUCCACCAGCCAGUGUGCCUUGCGCCGGCGGUACGUGCGGACGUGUCGGGCGAGGCUUGUAGCACGCCUUAGGCUCCCUUCCUCUUGCUGGUGCUGGAAUAGUUUACCAAUGCUUCAUAUCAUAUUUCCCAUAAGAGUUGUUGUAUUAGUUACUGAAGCAAGACGUGGAGAGGUGACAUUGAUCUUAGCUCUGACACUAUGAUCUCUGGGAGCCACGAGUACCUAACACAAAGAUGACAUAACCUGCCAGUGUAGUGAAGUAUAGACCAGGAGUGGAUAGUCUCUCUCUUGGUGAACACACGCACAAAAUACACAGUAGUAUUAUCUGUAGAGAGAAGGAGACAAAUAAUGGCCAGGCAGUGUCUUCUUGCUGAUGAGAGAUAGAGAGAGAUACCCGUCAGCAAAUUUACUUUCAGAGUUUAUUGAAGGACUGAAGAGAAUCGAUGAGACACCUUAUUGAGGGGUCAUAGAGACUCUUAGUGUAGUAGGUGUUGAGGUAAAGGAAACGGUAGAACAGUGUGUCUUACGGCAGGAGAGACAGAGUGAUCGUCUUCCGUUUCUAAGGACAGGAGACACCUUAGAUUAUACAGUAUCUCAACAUCUUGAUCGAGAGAAGAGAUAGAGAGACAUCGGCGAGUCUCUCCACGAAUAGAACAAAUAUCUUGGGCCAUCUUUCAUCUCUCUAAGGACAGAAGACCUCAAGAGACCGUCUCAGAGGUCAGGAGAGAGAGACAGAGGUACUGUAUCUCCCUCUCGAGCAGGACAGAGCUGAGGCCUCCCUCCCUCCCCCCGGAUCCUCCACACCCAGACAAGUAGACAAACAAUGCGUCUAUCUUGCUUGGUGUUGACUGUCCUCCACAACCUACUGUCAACCGUGCCCUCCACCUACACCCAGGACGACCGCAUGUGGUCAGUGACAGGGGUAACAGGCCGCUCCACAGACCUGCCGUGUUACCUUAACCCGCGCACUCCUGGGGACAGACCCAAGCUGAUCCUCUGGUACAAGAAGGACGUGAGAACCCCGGUAUUCAGCCACGACGGUCGGGUACCCCAGAUGCGGUCAGACAUCCGGCAGAACGAAGGUAGUUUGACCGUAAGCAGAGGAGCAGCUACCCUCACCCUCCACAACCUGACGGUCACACAGGCGGACGUAUAUGAGUGUAGGGUUGAUUUCUUCAAGUCUCCUACACACACUAACUUCGUGAACCUUACGAUAAUUGAGCCGCCACACAGCUUGGAGGUGCGGGACAGUGAGGGAGGGAUGGCGAGAGGGGGGAUCCUUGGACCAUACCGUGAGGGCGUCUCUGUAACCUUCGUCUGUACCGCCAAGUG